CUUUGUUCUUGAAGUUGU
rnacentral:snRNA from 1 species